rnacentral:rRNA from 1 species
CCACCCUCUCGUGCNCGCUCCGCCACGAACGCCCUUCAUAGUUACUUAGCGGCGAACGGGUGAGUAACACGUGUACAACCUGCCCCAGGCUUUGGGAUAACCCCGGGAAACCGGGGCUAAUACCGAAUAUGACCUUCCACCGCAUGGUGGGUGGUGGAAAGUUUUUCGGCUUGGGAUGGGCCCCCUCCUUUACCUUAUGUUGGUGGGGUGAUGGCCUACCAAGGCGACGACGGGUAGCCGGCCUGAAAGGGCGACCGGCCACACUGGGACUGAGACACGGCCCAUAUUCAUACGGGAGGCAGCAUUGGGGAAUAUUGCACAAUGGGCGGAAGCCUGAUGCAGCGACGCCGCGUGAGGGAUGACGGCCUUCGGGUUGUAAACCUCUUUCAGCAGGGACGAAUCGUAAGUGACGGUACCUGCAAAAGAAGCGCCGGCCAACUACGUGCCAGCAGCCGCGGUAAGACGUAGGGCGCGAGCGUUGUCCGGAUUUAUUGGGCGUAAAGAGCUCGUAGGCGGCUUGUCGCGUCGACUGUGAAAACCCGCAGCUCAACUGCGGGCCUGCAGUCGAUACGGGCAGGCUAGAGUUCGGUAGGGGAGACUGGAAUUCCUGGUGUAGCGGUGAAAUGCGCAGAUAUCAGGAGGAACACCGGUGGCGAAGGCGGGUCUCUGGGCCGAUACUGACGCUGAGGAGCGAAAGCGUGGGGAGCGAACAGGAUUAGAUACCCUGGUAGUCCACGCUGUAAACGUUGGGCGCUAGGUGUGGGGGGCCUCUCCGGUUCCCUGUGCCGCAGCUAACGCAUUAAGCGCCCGCUGGGGAGUACGGCCGCAAGGCUAAAACUCAAAGAAUGACGGGGCCCGCACAAGCGGCGAGCAUGCNAUUAUUCGAUGCAACGCGAAGNACCUACCUGGUUUGACAUGGCCGCAAAAC